rnacentral:rRNA from 1 species
UAAGGAAUAUUGGUCAAUGGACGCAAGUCUGAACCAGCCAUGCCGCGUGAAGGAUGAAGGUCCUCUGGAUUGUAAACUUCUUUUAUAGGGGACGAAAAAAGGGAAUUCUUUCUCGUCUGACGGUACCCUAGGAAUAAGCACCGGCUAACUCCGUGCAGCAGCCGCGGUAAUACGGAGGGUGCAAGCGUUAUCCGGAUUCACUGGGUUUAAAGGGAGCGUAGGUGGGUCUGUAAGUCAGUGGUGAAAUCUCCGAGCUUAACUCGGAAACUGCCAUUGAUACUAUAGGUCUUGAAUAUUCUAGAGGUAAGCGGAAUAUGUCAUGUAGCGGUGAAAUGCUUAGAUAUGACAUAGAACACCGAUUGCGAAGGCAGCUUGCUACAGGAUUAUUGACACUGAGGCUCGAAAGCGUGGGGAUCAAACA